rnacentral:rRNA from 1 species
GGGGAAUAUUGCACAAUGGGGGAAACCCUGAUGCAGCAAUGCCGCGUGUGUGAAGAAGGCUUUAGGGUUGUAAAGCACUUUCAAUAGAGAAGAAAAGCUUAGGGUUAAUACCCCUAAGUAUUGACGUAACCUAUAGAAGAAGCACCGGCUAAAUCCGUGCCAGCAGCCGCGGUAAUACGGAUGGUGCGAGCGUUAAUCGGAAUUACUGGGCGUAAAGAGCACGUAGGCUGUUUUAUAAGUCGGAUGUGAAAUCCCCGGGCUUAACCUGGGAACUGCAUCCGAAACUAUUUAACUAGAGUAUGGGAGAGGUAAGUAGAAUUUCCGGUGUAGCGGUGAAAUGCGUAGAUAUCGGAAGGAAUACCAGUGGCGAAGGCGGCUUACUGGACCAAUACUGACGCUGAGGUGCGAAAGCGUGGGGAGCGAACAGG